GUCCCUGUAGUUCAAUGGACAGCACAUUGGACUUCAAAUCCAAAGGUCGUGGGUUCAAAUCACAUCUGGGACG